AUAUCAAUAAGCGGAGGAAGAGAAACUAACCAGGAUUCCCCUAGUAACGGCGAGCGAACCGGGAAGAGCCCAACUUGAAAAUCUCCAGCUUGCUGGCGAAUUGUAGUCUAUGGAAGCUGUGGUCAGCAACGUUCUGUGAGCCAAGUCCCUUGGAAGAGGGUAGCAGAGAGGGUGAUACUCCCGUAUUCUGCUUGUAGAAUGGUUGUGUACGACCCGUGUUCCAAGAGUCGAGUUGCUUGGGAAUGCAGCUCAAAGGAGGUGGUAAAUUCCAUCUAAAGCUAAAUAUAGGUGCGAGACCGAUAGCGAACAAGUACCGUGAGG
rnacentral:rRNA from 1 species